UCAGUAUCUGAAGGGGGCCUGCAAGAAAGCUGGGAGCAAAAUGGAUGUUUUUCCAAGGCAAUCCUGGAGCCUUCAGAGCAGGAGAUGUUUGCCCGCUCGACGUGGCUGGAAGCCCCUUCUGGCAAGCCCUCCAGGAGCCCGUGGGCAGGAGGUCUGCACAGGUGAGGAGGGCUUCCUGAGUGGCCUGCAAAGCAGCAAGGCUGACACUCUGCUGUCUGCACAGGGAUUCCUCAGGCACAGCAGGAUGUCCUGAGCGUUAUGCAGCCUGAGGCUUGCAGGUUGUCCUCACCAAGAACUCUCCGAUCUUCCACAUCUGCUCUGUCUCCACCAGGUCUCGGAGCUGUUGCCACUUGAGGAGUUCUGCGGCAGCAAGGAGGGCUUGGCUGGAGGCCUGCACAACAGCACAAGUUGGAGAGAUGGCAGCAUGGCCUGGGGAAGGAGGCCUGGCAUCCCCCUCCUUCUUGUCUGCCUUUAUUCCUGCCCUGAUCCCACCCCUAGGAACCUGGGACAUGGUGCCCUGGCCCAAAGAGCUGCGGGGCUCUUCCUGCAGCUCUGCUUUGGAACCUGUACCUCGGCCACGCUCUGGGUGUUGUCAUAUGUGUGAAACCAGAGCGGGAGCAGCCCCCGUUGCACUUGGUUCCUCAUCUGCCUCUUGCACUUCCCCGCCACCUUCUUCAGCAGCUCAGUGAAGAGGCUGAUGGAGAUCUCCCUCAGCUCGUUCAACAGCUCCUGGGGAGAAGCAGAGCAGGACUUGAGCAAGAGCAGCUCUGCCCAUGGCGAGCCUGUUCCCAGCUGGCAGAGCCCGCAGGGUUCAGAGAGCAGUUCUUAGGGAGAAGCUGAGCUGGGCUGCAGAACUCAGAAGCCAUCCAUCCAUCCAUCCAUCCAUGCAUCCCACAAGAGCCCAGAGGAGAAAGGAGAGGAGCAGCCCCUGCUCCAAGUGCUGCCCACAGGGAUGGGCUUCUGAAGGGCUCAGGCUCCCACAGCAGCCUUACGUUGUCAAAGAGGGGCAGGAGCUUGUCCACCAGCUCCACAGCGAUGGGGCUGGCCUCCUCCCUCGUCAGCUGCCCCAUCACUUUUCUCCAGAUCUUCAGGGCCUUCAGCUGAACAUCUUUGCUGCCCUGCUGCAGGACCGCCAUCAAGUCCAUCAAGAGCACC